rnacentral:rRNA from 1 species
UGGGGAAUUUUGCACAAUGGAGGAAACUCUGAUGCAGCGACGCCGCGUGAGUGAUGAAGAUCUUCGGAUUGUAAAACUCUGUCCUUAGUGAAGAUAAUGACAGUAACUAAGAAGCAAGCCCUGGCUAAAUACGUGCCAGCAGCCGCGGUAAUACGUAUGGGGCAAGCGUUGUCCGGAAUUAUUGGGCGUAAAGGGUACGUAGGCGGUUUAAUAAGUCCUAAUUAAAAGGCUAUGGCUCAACCAUAGUAUGGUUAGGAAACUGUUGAACUUGAGUAGAUGAGGGGAAAGUGGAAUUCCAUGUGUAGCGGUGAAAUGCGUAGAUAUAUGGAGGAACACCAAUGGGGAAGGCAACUUUCUGGAAUCAAACUGACGCUGAGGUACGAAGGCGUGGGGAGAAAACAGG